UGAUAGAUGUUGUCGUGGACAUCCCUGAUCUCAGAAACAGGCCACACACGUUUCUUGGAAGCAUGUCAGGGAUGGUGAGAUUCUUCAUAUUUGUUGUUGGCAAUACCUUGGGUGCUCAUGUGGAUUUGACAAGACAUCUCGUCAUCAGAGGAGGCUGUACUGAAGGGAUGUCACAAGAGGAAAGUGAUGUCAUCAUGUCUUUCUGUCCUAUCGUCUCUCGUGCUGGGACUGAUAUUGAAGCAGCACUGCAGCAGAUUCCUGCUGGUAAACCUGUCAUUCUGGUAGUACUGCAUCACACCUUCAACCCAGACUACACUGUACCUGACAGCAGCAGACUAGUGACCAGAAGUGAUGUAAUACUCACAGUGGACUGUCUCUUCCAUGAGAGCCAGGGACUAUUGGAGUGUCAUCGCAAUGAAGCAGCAGUCAAAGAGAUU